rnacentral:rRNA from 1 species
CAGUCAGGUGUCCUUGCAAGUGAGAGGUGAAAUCCUUUGACUUAAUCGAAGAAUUGCCUUUCAAACUGCGAGGAUUGAGUAUGAGAGAGGAAAGCGGAACUCUCGGUGUAAGGGUGAAAUCUGUAGAGAUCGAGAGGAACACCAGUAGCGAAGGCGGCUUUCUGGACCAUCACUGACACUGAACUGCGAAAGCUAGGGGAGCAAACA